GACGUAGGGGGCGAGCGUUGUCCGGAUUCACUGGGCGUAAAGGGCGCGUAGGCGGCCCGGCGCGUCGGCCGUGAAAGGCGCACGCUCAACGUGCGCAGGCCGGCCGUGACGGCCGGGCUCCGAGGGCGGUAGAGGACGGCGGAAUCCCGGGUGUAGUGGUGAAAUGCGUAGAGAUCCGGGGGAACACCGGUGGCGAAGGCGGCCGUCUGGGCCGGCCCUGACGCUGAGGCGCGAAAGCGUGGGGAGCGAACUGA
rnacentral:rRNA from 1 species